ensembl:lncRNA
UCACCCACUAUUUUGUAAAUGUCUGUUAUAGAUGGAGAAAUUUGUACGCAAGCUUUGUUCAAAGUUCAUUGUUCCAGCAGCUCUGCAGGGCCUUGAGGAGCCUGGUGACAUUGCCUUUGGGGAGACGGCAAACCAUUUGCCAGGUUAGUGAUUGACUAUUAUUAUGAUCAAACACUGUGCUAUGUGAUCAAUAACAUGUGACACGUAGCCUUGUACCUAGCAUUUUGUCACUUCAUGAGUAGAAACCUAUUAAGGUGUGUGGUAGUCCUUCCAUUAACAGUGGGCUUCUGGUUGGAUUUCUUGCCCUAUAUGUCUAGCUGAUAUUGCAGCAUCAGCAUGUUAAACCAUUUACGUUAACAUGGUAUGCUGUAUCUCUAACAGGAAGAAAGUUGAACAUUGGGUUCACAACCAGGGCUAAACUCAACAGGCUACUUGACGAGGGUGACAUCACACCACAGCAGGUGGAUUCAUUCCAUGAAGCUGUGGUAUGUUUCCUGACAAGUGCUGUGGCCUAUGCACUAAAGAAGCUGCCACUGAAAGAGCCACUGCUCAAACAUUCAAAAUUUGUAGACGUACGGCAGAGGGCUGAAAGUGACAUCGGAGAUGUCCUGUACUUUGUUGAAAGGUUUCCCCAUCUCCUCCCAUACCAUGGUCCAGAGGAGCAUGACCUUCUGGGUGAGGAGUUUCUAAGUUAUCAGACCAUGCCAAUGAUAUCCCUGCAGGAUGAAACUGAAAUGGGAAGCUUCUGGGCUGAAAUGGCAACCCGGAAACAUAAGGUAAAACAAUUUAUUUUUUUGUGUUUCCAUUUGGCAGCUGUGGCUUGGCUGUUUUGCUUGUCGCAUGUAUAUAUUGUCAUGCAUUUUCCAAAUUUUGCAUAUUUUUAUCUGAACUGUGUUAAUGGAUCAACCUACAGUAUACUUACAGUUUUAAUCAGUAAAAAAAUCAAGGUAUGUUAUUCCAUUGUGUUCUUGAUGCAUUUUCCAUAGGUGACAGGAGCCAACGAAUUUCAGAGGCUUGCUGCCGUUGCCAAGCUGGUCCUGGUGUUGCCCCAUUCCAACGCAGACGCUGAGAGGGUGUUUUCAGUUGUGGGACUGAACAAAACAAAGACCAGAAACAGCCUAGCACUGGAUGGCACCCUGUCCUCAAUAAUGACCAUAAAGAUGGCCGACCUGGAGCCCUGUUUCAAAUGGGAGCCCCCCUCAGAUGUCCUCAAGGCCUCCAAGAAGGCCACCGGCCAGUAUAACCGUGCCCACAGAUCAUAGACGAGGACUAGCUUCUGAUCUGCAUCUGAUACGGAUGACUUCAUUUUUUGUUAUUUUUGUAAUGCAUUCAUCUUUUAUUGCUUGAAAAAGUUGUACUGUUUAAGCACUGUUUCUAAUGGACCAUGUGGUGGGAGGCUUUGAAUGAAGAAUCAUUUAUCUCCCUAACUAAUCUUGUCGUUUUUGGCUGAACAUAAAUCAUUAAGUGCUCUUAAGAAUACAAUUAUUCACAACAUAGGUUAGGUUUCAGUUCAGAAUUUGUUUAAUACCAUUGUUGUGGUCAAAAUAUCAAUCAACCUACCUAGGUCAAAUCACUGGUCUAUGAAUAAGGCUAUAUUGUGACACAUAGGCAGUCAUUUAGGCACAACAAUAGUUUUCUGGUUUAAUGUCCAACUCCAGACUAGGCCCUAUAAAUCCUGAUGCCAAACAUGAAUCAGAAUAAGUUCAGGUAUUGCACAUCUUUAGCAGACCACCCAAAAAUCCACUAUAAUGAAGGAAAUCACAUCUAUUUGAUCCAAAAUUUCCUUGGGAUGGACCUUCAGCUAUGUCUUUGCUUCACAUAAUGUAACCAAUAUUGCCC